AUUGAACGCUGGCGGCAGGCCUAACACAUGCAAGUCGAACGAGUGGCGGACGGGUGAGUAAUGUCUGGGAAACUGCCUGAAGGAGGGGGAUAACUACUGGAAACGGUAGCUAAUACCGCAUACCAUCAGAUGUGCCCAGAUGGGAUUGGCUUGUUGGUGUGGUAACGGCUCACCAAGGCGACGAUCCCUAGCUGGGCUGAGAGGAUGACCAGGCGCACUGGAACUUAGACACGGUCCAGACUCCUACGGGAGGCAGCAGUGGGGAAUAUUUCACAAUGGGCGCAAUCCUGAUGCAGCCAUGCGGCGUGUAUGAAGAAGGCCUUCGGGUUGUAAAGUACUUGCAGCGGGGAGGCGUUACCCGCAGAAGAAGCACCGGCUAACUCCGUGCCAGCCGCCGCGGUAAUUC
rnacentral:rRNA from 1 species